rnacentral:rRNA from 1 species
CAGUAGCGUAUAUUAAAGUUGUUGCAGUUAAAAAGCUCGUAGUUGGAUUUCUGGCAUAUUACGCCUGGUCCGCCCGCGACUAGCGGUGUGAGUACCGGUGCGCGGUUGCCAUCCUUCUAGAGAAUGGGUUUACCCUUCAUUGGGCCGGAUCCAGAAUCUAGAUCAUUUACUUUUGAAAAAAUUAGAGUGUUUAAAGCAGGCUUUUGCUAUGAAUACAUUAGCAUGGAAUAAUAAUAUAGGACUUUGGUCUUAUUUGUGGUUCAGGGACUGAAGUAAUGAUUGAUAGGGAUAGUUGGGGGUGCUAGUAUUCAGCGGCCAGAGGUGAAAUUCUUGGAUUCGCUGAAGACUAACUUAUGCGAAAGCAUUCACCAAGGAUGUCUUCUUUAAUCAAGAACGAAAGUUGGGGGAUCGAAGACGAUCAGAUACCA